GACUUUUCCUGGGGAGGGAGUAGACUGAUUGGAGGGAAGAUAAAGGGUUGGGGAGCUGACAUACUAAUAGAGCAAUUCCACAGUCCAGAAGAGGAGGAGAAACAGUCUGCCUGGAUUCCAGAUGGAAAUUUCUGUCAGCUAGAGGAGGGAAGAUAGUGCUGCAGUGCUUUUGACUCAGCUGAUGGUUGACGAACAAAAACUCUAGCUGAGAUUCAGGAUAGAGUUGCUCUGGGAAUGAAUCAGAGUUGCACAGUGAAUCUAAGAGCCCCUGCCUCAUUUGUUGCAGAAGUUGGAAGGAGUGUGGUGAAUAAGGCAGGGAUUGCAGGAAGAGAAAGGAAGUUGAAUGCUGCCCUGGAGCACUGGAUUUUAUCUCUGCCUCUGCUACAGAGUUCUAAUGUGAUGCUGGCAAGUCAUUUAAACCAAACUUUUCACACAUGGUUACUUACUGUGUGUUCUUCAGUAGCUUGGUGUUCAACCUGAAGUCUGAGAUACAGAAGAACUGAGCACCCACAACUGCAACUAAAAUCAAUGUGAGCUGUGCUUUGAACAUUGCUUAGCAAACUGAGGUCCUGAUCUGUGAUUGAAGCUGCAAGUAACUACCCCAAUAUAGAUAAUUAUGAAUGGAUCAAAACUUGUGCAAGGACUGAAAAGCAAAUUAUGGUAAUAGAACAGCUAUCCCCACCUACAGAGUGAUUAAAAAAAUCAAGACUUUUUUGCUGCAAAG